AUUGAACGCUAGCGGGAUGCUUUACACAUGCAAGUCGAACGAGUGGCGGACGGGUGAGUAAUAUAUCGGAACGUGUCCAGUAGCGGGGGAUAACUACUCGAAAGAGUGGCUAAUACCGCAUACUAUUGGAGCGGCCGAUAGCGGAUUAGCUAGUUGGUGGGGUAAAGGCUCACCAAGGCACAGAUCCGUAGCUGGUUUGAGAGGAAGACCAGCCACACUGGGACUGAGACACGGCCCAGACUCCUACGGGAGGCAGCAGUGGGGAAUUUUGCACAAUGGGGGAAACCCUGAUCCAGCCAUCCCGCGUGUAUGAGAAGGCCUUCGGGUUGUAAAGCACUUUUGGCAGAGAAGCGUUAUUUGCAGAAUAAGCACAGGCUAACUCCGUGCCAGCAGCCGCGGUAAUAC
rnacentral:rRNA from 1 species